rnacentral:rRNA from 1 species
GCGUCGAGGGAGAGGGCUUGCUCCUUGAUUCGCGGCGGAGGGUGAGUAAUGCCUAGAAUCUGCCUGGUAGUGGGGGACAACGUUCGCUAAUACCGCAACUCCUGGAGAAAGCAGGGACCUUCGGGCCUUGCGCUAUCAAUGACCUAGUCGGAUUACUAGUUGGUGGGGUAAUGGCUCACCAAGGCACGAUCCGUAACUGGCUGAAGGAUGAUCAGUCCCUGGAACUGAGACACGGUCCAGACGGGAGGCAGCAGUGGGGAAUAUUGGACAAUGGGCGAAAGCCUGAUCCAGCCAUGCCGCGUGUGUGAAGAAGGUCUUCGGAUUGUAAAGCACUUUAAGUUGGGAGGAAGGGCAGUAAGCUAAUACCUUGCUGUUUUGACGUUACCGACAGAAUAAGCACCGGCUAACUCUGUGCCAGCAGCCGCGGUAAUACAGAGGGUGCAAGCGUUAAUCGGAAUUACUGGGCGUAAAGCGCGCGUAGGUGGUUCGUUAAGUUGGAUGUGAAAGCCCCGGGCUCAACCUGGGAACUGCAUCCAAAACUGGCGAGCUAGAGUACGGUAGAGGGUGGUGGAAUUUCCUGUGUAGCGGUGAAAUGCGUAGAUAUAGGAAGGAACACCAGUGGCGAAGCGACCACCUGGACUGAUACUGACACUGAGGUGCGAAAGCGUGGGGAGCAAACAGGAUAGAUACCCUGGUAGUCCACGCCGUGAUGUCAACUAGCCUUGGAAUCCUUGAAUUUUAGUGGCGCACUGCAUUAAUUGACGCCGGGGAGUACGCGCAUAAAACUCAAAUGAAUUGACGGGGGCCCGCACAACGGUGGACAGUGGUUUAAUUCGAACAACGCAAUUACCUUGACUGCAAUUUCAGAUCUUGAUCUGACCUGCAGUCGUCCUCCCCCAACCUGAA